UAUAGUAAUGAAAGGACAUGAGUAUUGC
rnacentral:sRNA from 1 species